CCGCAGCCCGACUUGAGCGGAAAUCCUUUUUUGCUUGUGCAAAAGCCCUAUUGAGUGUGGAAAAUUUCUGCAAAAAAGAUUGGGAGCGGAAGGCGGAUUAAGC
rnacentral:misc_RNA from 1 species